rnacentral:misc_RNA from 1 species
UCCCCGUUGGCCGGGGCAGUCUGGCCUGAAAAAUACAACAGACCAUAAGGGUUGCGCUCGUUGCGGGACUUAACCCAACAUCUCACGACACGAGCUGACGACGGCCAUGCAACACCUGUCACCGGGUUCCCGAAGGCACUCCCAACUUUCGUCGGGAUUCCCGGGAUGUCAAGCCUAGGUAAGGUUCUUCGCGUAGCUUCGAAUUAAACCACAUGCUCCACUGCUUGUGCGGAGUCCCGUCUAUUCCUUUGAGUUUUAGCCUUGCGGCCGUACUCCCCAGGCGGAAUGCUUAACGCGUUAGCUUCUCAACGCAAAGGGUCGAUACUUCACACUAAUAGCAUUCAUCGUUUACGGCGUGGACUAC